rnacentral:rRNA from 1 species
UGCAAGUCGAACGGGAAGAGAUGAAGAGCUUGCUCUUUAUCGAAUCCAGUGGCAAACGGGUGAGUAACACGUAAACAACCUGCCUUCAGGAUGGGGACAACAGACGGAAACGACUGCUAAUACCGAAUACGUUCCACGGGCCGCAUGACCUGUGGAAGAAAGGGUAGCCUCUACCUGUAAGCUAUCGCCUGAAGAGGGGUUUGCGUCUGAUUAGGCAGUUGGUGGGGUAACGGCCCACCAAACCAACGAUCAGUAGCCGGUCUGAGAGGAUGAACGGCCACACUGGAACUGAGACACGGUCCAGACUCCUACGGGAGGCAGCAGUGGGGAAUCUUCCGCAAUGGACGAAAGUCUGACGGAGCAACGCCGCGUGAGUGAAGACGGCCUUCGGGUUGUAAAGCUCUGUGAUCCGGGACGAAAGAGCCUUGGGUAAAUAGCCUAAGGAAGUGACGGUACCGGAAAAGCAAGCCACGGCUAACUACGUGCCAGCAGCCGCGGUAAUACGUAGGUGGCAAGCGUUGUCCGGAAUUAUUGGGCGUAAAGCGCGCGCAGGCGGCCUCCUAAGUCCAUCUUAAAAGUGCGGGGCUUAACCCCGUGAUGGGAUGGAAACUGGGAAGCUGGAGUAUCGGAGAGGAAAGUGGAAUUCCUAGUGUAGCGGUGAAAUGCGUAGAGAUUAGGAAGAACACCGGUGGCGAAGGCGACUUUCUGGACGAAAACUGACGCUGAGGCGCGAAAGCGUGGGGAGCAAACAGGAUUAGAUACCCUGGUAGUCCACGCCGUAAACGAUGGAUACUAGGUGUAGGAGGUAUCGACCCCUUCUGUGCCGGAGUUAACGCA